rnacentral:misc_RNA from 1 species
UCUCCGUAGGUGAACCUGCGGAGGGAUCAUUACUGAGCGAGGGUCUCCCGGCCCGACCUCCAACCCUUUGUGAACACAACUUGUUGCUUCGUGGGCGACCCUGCCGUUUCGACGGCGAGCGCCCCCGGAGGCCAUUAAACACUGCAUCAUUGCGUCGGAGUUAAAGUAAAUUAAACAAAACUUUCAACAACGGAUCUCUUGGUUCUGGCAUCGAUGAAGAACGCAGC